rnacentral:rRNA from 1 species
AUUGAACGCUGGCGGCAGGCCUAACACAUGCAAGUUGGACGGUAGCACAGAGGAGCUUGCUCCUUGGGUGACGAGUGGCGGACGGGUGAGUAAUGUCUGGGGAUCUGCCCGAUAGAGGGGGAUAACCACUGGAAACGGUGGCUAAUACCGCAUAACGUCGCAAGACCAAAGAGGGGGACCUUCGGGCCUCUCACUAUCGGAUGAACCCAGAUGGGAUUAGCUAGUAGGCGGGGUAAUGGCCCACCUAGGCGACGAUCCCUAGCUGGUCUGAGAGGAUGACCAGCCACACUGGAACUGAGACACGGUCCAGACCCCUACGGGAGGCAGCAGUGGGGAAUAUUGCACAAUGGGCGCAAGCCUGAUGCAGCCAUGCCGCGUGUAUGAAGAAGGCCUUCGGGUUGUAAAGUACUUUCAGCGGGGAGGAAGGCGGUGAGGUUAAUAACCUCGCCGAUUGACGUUACCCGCAGAAGAAGCACCGGCUAACUCCGUGCCAGCCGCCGCGGUAA